CGUAUAAAGGGAUUAGGACGAACAUAAACAACAAAGGGAUGACUGGGAUUGAGGGACCUGGCACUUUGAAGCCAUGGAGGUUGGUGUCCAUGGUGUUGGCUUGUUGUAUGCUAAAGAUUCCAUGGUCCAUCAUUGUUUGUGACAACCGCCGCGCGGUCCAAGAAUCUGGAAAUUCAAUUUUCACAUAAGGUCUGAUAAGGAAAAAGAUGAUGUUUCUAAUAGAAAGUUACUACUAGUCAUAUUAAAUAA